GAUAAGUUGUUGAUUACGUUUUUUAAGGGAAGCAGAGGUUUUAGGCAGGAUUUGAUGCAUAAGGUGUGUGUAGAUAUUAAUGUUAGGGGAGAAUGUGAGUGAUGUGUACAUUUAGUAGGAAAACCUAUUAUCUGAUCCACACUCCGGGACAGGAGAGGGCGGUAUUGCACCAAUAAGCUGGAUGCCAACCGCCGUUAAACUGGAAAGAAGUUACAAUGAGUUACAAUGGAACAGAUUAUGUUUGUCUGCUGUAGAGUGACUGAAGAAGGAAUGCUGCCAUCAAAGGAUUUGUAUCUUUUGUGGUGGAGCAGGACCUGCAAGGAAAGGGGAAAAAAAGGAAAAACCUGAAACAAAAGAAUAAAGUAGUGGUGCUCAUGGAGAGCAGCACACGAUUGUUUGGAGCAGACACAGCAGCAGUCAGAUUGUCCUGCAUGUGUUCUUCUGCUCUCGCUUCAAGGUUGUGUGGUGAGAGCCGACAUCAUGGUCUUCCUUACCUGUUGCUCAACGACAUCCCCGUUGAGAAGAGUGAGAUUAUGAAGCACAGCAGAACUGUCUCAGCUGUGUUGAGAUGAUAGUAAGAUGUGGGGUUCACCAUCUGUAAAUACAUGAUUGUUAGAACAGUAAGUUUGAAUGAAGCUUUGUUUCAUGUGUUGUUGACUUGUACAUGUAUGCAUUUAUUGUGAUGCCAACA
ensembl:lncRNA